CGUGACUGCUCUCAGACUAGUUAUGCUCCACCUCAGCCCGAGAAGACUUUUGGCUGUGUUAAGCCAUCACGCAAGAUGAUCAGUGUCAAGUCAGCCCCCACUGAACGUGGACGUGUGCAUCACGUCUCAGCUAAAGACGCUCAUGAUGAUCCAGAUGUCGUUCUUGGUACCCUUCUUGUCAAUUGUCACCCAGCAUCAGUUCUAUUCGAUACUGGAGCAUCUCACUCCUUCAUUUCUGAAGGUUAUGCUCGUUUGCACGACAUGUCAUUUUGUGAUAUGCCAACUCCGCUUGAAAUCCAAACCCCAGGGUCUAGAUGGCAGACCACCAGAAUCAGCCAUGGUAACGAAAUCCUUGUUGACAGACUUGUAUUCCUUGCAUCACUUGUAGCCCUCAAGUCUUCAGAUAUUAACAUCAUCUUGGGUAUGGACUGGAUGACAGCUCAUCAUGCCAAGAUUGAUUGUUACACAAGAUCUGUUCAGCUUACACACCCAUCUGGCAAGAUAGUCACCGUCUCCACUAGAGUUGCAAAGCGUCAACUCUAUUCUCUUAAUGCCAGCCCUCUUCCAGACCUUGAA
rnacentral:rRNA from 1 species